rnacentral:piRNA from 1 species
UAUGCCCAAGAGAGGUAUAGCUGGAUCCUC